UUUUUUUCAAACGAGGAAGUGAAGUCAAGUCCGCCAUUUCAUCUUCUUCUUUAUAUCGGAAAAGAAAGGAAUCAUGCAAGGAUGCAAGCUGAAGGAAAGGACAACUCUCACAUCAGUGCAUUACUAAUUGUUUGACUUCAUCAUCAAGCACACCAGGUGGUGCAGUGGUACAGUGGAUAGCUCUGUUGCCUCCCAGCAAAAAUGUUUCUGGUUGGAGCAUCGGCUGGGUCAGUUGGCAUUUCUGUGUGAAGUUUUUAUGUUCUCCACUUGUUGGCGUGGGUCUCCUCCGGGUGCUCCGGUUUCCCCCACAAGACAUGCGGUACAGAUGAAUUGGCUCAGAUUGUGAAGGACCGGGAAUGCAACACCAGUUACUCUUAAGUCAAGAACCAAAUGAAGCACCAGAGUACAGAUUAUGGAGGUUCCUUGUAAAGAUGAACCCAGGGAAGGAUCGAAAGUGGAGAAGACCAGAUCAAGAAAGACCACAUCAAGAUCUGCGGUCAGUUCAAAGGAUGUUUUGCAUUGGACAGUUUUUUUUUUGGAUUUGACCCUUGCUCGCCCCUGACCUCAUUCUUGGACUGCCCUGUUGGAUUUUCAGUUUGUUUUAUUUAUUUUUUUUUUUUUUGGUUCUGGGUAGAUGAUAAUAAAUAUUUAGUUGUAAUUAUUUAAAUAAUAUGUUUUUGUUAAAUAUGCGAUUUCUGUGUUUGUUCUGUCUACUCGUACUUGUUUAAUCUUGUUUCUGUAAUUAUCAUUUGUUUAUUUGACCCUUGCCUCGCCUCUGAUCUUGUUUUUGGAUUGCCCUUUAUAUAUAUUUUUAAUUAUUGGUUCUGGGUAUAUGGUUAUAAAAUAUUUGUUAAUUUAAUUAAUAUGCAUUUUAUAAAAAAUAUAUAUAUUUUUUUGUGUUUAUUCUGUAUCUAUUUAUCUAAUUUGUAUAUACAUGUGUGUUUGUAUGUUCUUCUUAUUCUGUAUAUCCACUUACCUAAUUUUUACUUUUAUAUUUAUUUGCAUUUAAUUUGUGAUAAUUCUGUAUGCAUUUAUUUAUCUAAUUCAUAUAUUUAUUUGUAUUGCAUUGAUCCAUCUGUUGUUGUUUUUUUGUAUGCAACUAUUUAUAUAAUUUAUAUACAUUAUAUAUUUGUAUUUAUCAAUUUAUAUUCUUCCUUUAAAGCAAUUUUUUUAAAUAAAGCAAUUUAAACUAA
rnacentral:lncRNA from 1 species